ACAAGCGGUGGAUGAUGUGGUUAAUUCGAUGCAACGCGAAAACCUUACCCACCUUUGACAUGGCAGGAAUCCUGAAGAGAUUGGGAGUGCUCGAAAGAGAACCUGCACACAGGUGCUGCAUGGCUGUCGUCAGCUCGUGUCGUGAGAUGUUGGGUUAAGUCCCGCAACGAGCGCAACCCUUGCCAUUAGUUGCUACGAAAGGGCACUCUAAUGGGACUGCCGGUGACAAACCGGAGGAAGGUGGGGAUGACGUCAAGUCCUCAUGGCCCUUAUAGGUGGGGCUACACACGUCAUACAAUGGCCGGUACAGAGGGUAGCCAACCCGCGAGGGGGAGCCAAUCCCACAAAGCCGGUCGUAGUCCGGAUCGCAGUCUGCAACUCGACUGCGUGAAAUCGGAAUCGCUAGUAAUCGCGGAUCAGCAUGUCGCGGUGAAUACGUUCCCGGGUCUU
rnacentral:rRNA from 1 species